rnacentral:misc_RNA from 1 species
GAUGAAGAACGCAGCGAAAUGCGAUAAGUAGUGUGAAUUGCAGAAUUCCGUGAAUCAUCGAAUCUUUGAACGCACAUUGCGCCCCUUGGUAUUCCUUGGGGCAUGCCUGUUCGAGCGUCAUUUACACCCUCAAGCUCUGCUUGGUGUUGGGCGUCUGUCCCGCCUCCGCGCGUGGACUCGCCUCAAAGCAAUUGGCGGCUGGUAUGAUGGCCUGGAGUGCAGCAGGAUUGCGCCCCUUGUCCGGAAGCCGGCUCCCACAAGCUGAACCCCCCAAUGUUUGACCUCGAAUCAGGUAGGGAUACCCGCUGAACUUAAGCAUAUCCAAUAAGCGGAGGA